UAAGUUAACUCGCUUAAUCUUAUUCCAAGAACGGGGGACCCAUUUUUGUGGAUUUUAUCCGCUAGGGGUGAAUUCAGAAAUGAAAGGGCAUUUGUGUUUCCAAUUCCUAACCCGACAGCUAACCUCGUCAGCGUCUUUAAGGGAACAU
rnacentral:sRNA from 3 species